GUCAACAUGUCUUUUCCAAGUUGUUCGUGCAGGAGACAUCACAGUAAAGGGAGGAGCUUCAGUCAGCUUGGUCUGUGUUUGUUUCCCACACAGAGACAAGACAUGCAAGACAUAAGGCUGCUUGUGUGGGGCAUCUACUUACAAGCCCCCAUCCUGGGUCUCACCUCAGUGCAGCUUCUCAAUGCCACUCUUGGAGGGUCUGUCAUGUUCUCCUGUUCCCUACCAGUUAAUCCGGUACGCAUCUCGUGGUUUUACUGGCAGGAACACAGGACAAGUAAAGUGUUGUACCACUGGGUCGACGGGCAAACAAAGCCAGCAGCCAAUGAAUAUAAGAACAGAUGCCAAGUCCCCAGCUCUGAGUUUAGUUCUGGAAAUAUUUCAAUAACACUUGAACAAGUUGAUGUUGGAGAUGACAAGAAGACAUUCUGGGUUUCUGCUAGUUAUCGGCAUAAGAAAAUCAGUCUUUGUGAAAAAUGCUGCAAAUCCACACUACAAGUUUCAGCGCCCUACCAAGACCUGAAGGUGACAGUUAACAACACUGCAAACAGAGCAACUUGCACAGCACAUGGAGGAUACCCUGCGCCUCGAGUGUCAUGGACAGGUCGAAACAAAUCCGGCGCUGCAGAGCAAGGCCUGCAUGCCGCUGAGCCGAUCCUGCAGCAGGAUCCCACAGAGAGGACCUACUCGGUCAGAAGCUCCGUCAGUGUGAAGGACUUACAAGAUGUUACCUGCCACAUCGACACCCUUCACUCCAAUCAGAUGAUUAAGAAAGAAAUCAGUGAUGAGGAGGACAACCAGAGGCAUCAUCACAUAGCUGCAGGGAUUGGAGGGACUGUAUUUCUUGUCAUUGUCUGUGUCUCUGUGUUUGUGUUAUUGUGCUCCUGCAGGACAAAGUGUUGUAAGUAAGUGAAUUCAAAUUUCUAUUUUUCUUUUCUGUGGUGGGUCAUAUUUACCUGAGAGAAAAUUCAACACAGCAUGUCAGCUUCUGCAUGAAAGGUUCCAUGUAAAGCCUCUACAUCAUCCCCUCCAAAUGAUAUGUCGAACGGUCCUCAUCACUGAAGUGGUUUCUGUUAAUUCCGGAACAGAAUGAUCAGAUGAUGGAGAACCAGGAAAAUCAGGAGAAUGUCUCUCUAGCCACAAAUCUAAGACAGAGAGACUCAGCAAAAAGCAGGCCAGCCGGAUGAUGAACUCUGUGUCUCAUCAACACAUUGGGCCUCAUGUAAGAGCCACUCAGUCAAACAGAUUUGUUCUUUAGUGGUGCGAACAGGCAUUGAAAGAGAAUUUGGGGUCAUAGCUCAAUGACUGUCACAGGACCACUUUGCUUUAGAAAGACAUUGUUAGCAUCUAGCUUCAUGCUAAACCUUUUCCUGUGUAAUUCUGUGCCUGUGCAGCUCUUCUCUCUCUAACGACACAUCACUAGCAGCUGGAUCAUUAACAUCGCUGUUAUAUGGUUUCUGACAGCAGCACUUGAAGCUCUGUGGUGAAACAUUCACUUUUUAUGCUUUGGUAGCAUUUUUGUGAAUGAAAGCUCCCCACAACACAUAGAUUUAUAAGACAAGAGUGAAGCUAAGAGGAGAGAACUAACAGACGAAUCCCGUGUUGAGAGGGAAGCUUCGUCCUCACUGUGAGCCUUAGCUAAAUGAAACCCUUUUAUCAUUUGAAGCUGUGAAGCCGCUGUGAGGUUUUUAUCUGGUUCCCAGUAAGUGUGAGCAUGUUUGGUCCUGUGCAUGCCUCCCUCCACUGACACCCUGUCAGCUUUAGAGAUCAUUUGUUUUUAAAGCUAUUCACAGGUUGGCUCCCUCUUACAUAUCUGACCUUUUAAACCGUAACACUCGACCAAGCUCACUCAGGUCCUCUGGCCCUCAGUCGCAGGCUGCAGUCUGUGGAACAAACUGCCCCACCACAUCGGAUCUGCACCCUCGACCGACUUUACUGUUUGUAAAACUCUCCAUGUUGUUGUCAAGGUGCUACAGAAAUGAAUUUAACUUGACUUGACGAACAAGCAUACCUCAGCCAAGAGAGUUAAGAGAAGAACGAUGUUAUUGCAUGUGGUCUGAUAUCUUCUGAGAGUCCUUGGCACUGAGCCCUGCAUGUUUGCAUUUUUUUGUCCUUUGUGACGUCUAUGUCUCAUACAUCUUUAAAAUUAUUUUUAAUAAAAAAAAUCUUCUAUUUUGAGCACA